rnacentral:rRNA from 1 species
CCUACGGGAGGCAGCAGUGAGGAAUAUUGGUCAAUGGACGAGAGUCUGAACCAGCCAAGUAGCGUGAAGGAUGACUGCUCUAUGGGUUGUAAACUUCUUUUAUAUGGGAAUAAAAUGUUCCACGUGUGGGAUUUUGUAUGUACCAUAUGAAUAAGGAUCGGCUAACUCCGUGCCAGCAGCCGUGGUAAUACGGAGGAGCCGAGCGUUAUCCGGAUUUAUUGGGUUUAAAGGGAGCGUAGGUGGAUUGUUAAGUCAGUUGUGAAAGUUUGCGGCUCAACCGUAAAAUUGCAGUUGAAACUGGCAGUCUGGAGUACAGUAGAGGUGGGCGGAAUUCGUGGUGUAGCGGUGAAAUGCUUAGAUAUCGCGAAGAACUCCGAUUGCGAAGGCAGUUCACUGGACUGCAACUGACACUGAGGCUCGAGAGUGUGGGUAUCAAACAGGAUUAGAUACCCUAGUAGUC